ACCUUCUUUGUUAAGCUCUUUGCUAAAAUUACAGAACAUAGUAUCAUGUCUUAAUAUUUGUAAUAAAGCUAGCAGAGUAAACACAAGAAGAAAAAACAACUAAACAACCAUAGCAGACAGAAAAAAAACUGAGAUGCACCUCUUUCUUAAGACCAGGGUACUUUGUUCUAGGAUUUGAUACCAUAAUA